rnacentral:rRNA from 1 species
GAUGAACGCUAGCGGCAGGCCUAACACAUGCAAGUCGAGGGAGAAGCCCUUCGGGGCAGAAACCGGCGCACGGGUGCGUAACGCGUAUGCAACCUACCUUUCACAGGGGGAUAGCCCGAAGAAAUUUGGAUUAAUACCCCAUAAUAUUAUUGGAUGGCAUCAUUUGAUAAUUAAAAUUACGAUGGUGAAAGAUGGGCAUGCGUCCUAUUAGCUAGUUGGAGUGGUAACGGCACCCCAAGGCUACGAUAGGUAGGGGUCCUGAGAGGGAGAUCCCCCACACUGGUACUGAGACAGGGACCAGACUCCUACGGGAGGCAGCAGUGAGGAAUAUUGGUCAAUGGUCGGAAGACUGAACCAGCCAUGCCGCGUGCAGGAAGAAUGCCUUAUGGGUUGUAAACUGCUUUUAUAUGGGAAGAAUAAGGAGUACGCGUACUUUGAUGACGGUACCAUAUGAAUAAGCAUCGGCA